UACGUAGGGGGCAAGCGUUGUCCGGAUUCAUUGGGCGUAAAGAGCGUGUAGGCGGCCAGGUAGGUCGGUUGUGAAAACUGGAGGCUCAACCUUCAGAGGUCGACCGAAACCAUCUGGCUAGAGUCCGGGAGAGGAGAGUGGAAUUCCUGGUGUAGCGGUGAAAUGCGUAGAUAUCGGGAGGAACACCUGUGGCGAAGGCGGCCCCCUGGUUGGAUACUGACGCUGAUACGCGAAAGCGUGGGGAGCAAACAGG
rnacentral:rRNA from 1 species